AUACGUAUGUCGCAAGCGUUAUCCGGAAUUAUUGGGCGUAAAGCGAGUCUAGGCGGCUUGUUAAGUCAGAUGUGAAAAUGCGGGGCUCAACUCCGUAUUGCGUUUGAAACUGGCAGGCUAGAGUACUGGAGAGGUGGGCGGAACUACAAGUGUAGAGGUGAAAUUCGUAGAUAUUUGUAGGAAUGCCGAUAGUGAAGACAGCUCACUGGACAGAUACUGACGCUAAAGCUCGAAAGCGUGGGGAGCGAACAGAAUUAGAAACCCCAGUAGUCC
rnacentral:rRNA from 1 species